UACGUAGGGAGCAAGCGUUGUUCGGAAUCAUUGGGCGUAAAGGGCGCGUAGGCGGGAUGGCAAGUCGGUCGUGAAAUCCCUCGGCUCAACCGAGGAACGUCGAUCGAUACUGCUGUUCUUGAGGAUUGCAGAGGAGACUGGAAUUCCCGGUGUAGCGGUGAAAUGUGUAGAGAUCGGGAGGAACACCGGUGGCGAAGGCGGGUCUCUGGGCAAUUCCUGACGCUGAGGCGCGAAAGCGUGGGGAGCAAACAGG
rnacentral:rRNA from 1 species